ensembl:lncRNA
GUGCCCUAGCCCGCCUGCUUCCGUGCUCAGCCCUGGGCACCACAUUUUAGGAAGGAGAUUGAUGAACUGGGGAGGUUCUAGAAGAGAGGGACGACACCGAGGCAGAGUCACGGGAGGGCCUGGGAAGAGCGCUAAGGAGGCCGCAGUUGGCUACUCACUAGUUGUGUGGCUGCAGACAAGUGACUGAUUUGCCUUUGCCGAUCCCCGACUCUGCGAGUCAGAAGCAGCGUCUUCCCCGCCUGAGGAGGAGCCCCGCCCGCAGCACUCAUAACUAACGCUCGGCUAACCAGUUGUCCUGUGGCCCUGUGCCGCACAGGACUCUGCCUCGGGAAGACCGAAUGCAGAGCAGAGCGUGAUAUUGGCACGUGUUUUGUUGUUCUUGUUUGCGGGUUUCCAGCUUCUAUCUGGUUCUUUCUUGCGCCACGCGGCACACGCGGAAACGGGCCGGGAAGGCCGCGCACGUGCAGCCUGCGUCGGACGGCUGGCUUGCUGGGGAGCGGGGCGGCGGGGGCAGGGAUCCGGAGGCCGGGGCUUGCGGAGGCUGACGCUGAGAACGCCCGGCCUGUCGCUGGGAAAAGUAAAAGCGCCAGAAUAAGAGCGAUGUUUUACUGAGAGAACGACGAGCCAACAGCAUCGGAGGGUGUGUUCGCGCCGCGGCCCUGCCACGGACCAGCCGGACCCCCGGGGGACGCUCGGCUGCCCCUCAAAGGGGGACGCGACCCCCUCAGAGUCGUCGGGCAGAAAGUUCCGCCGCCCGGAGAGGAGCCCGGGGAUGGGGCCGUGCGCGCUCCGUCCGAGAGCGGGGGCGCGGCGGCCUCUGACGGGCAGAGCCUGCUGUGCCCUCGGGCCAGGACGGGGCCGGACUGAGAAAGGGACAGGUGAGGAAACUGAGGCUAAACUGAGGUGCAGCGGUUUGUCCAGGAUCACAAAGCUAGGAAGAGUCUGAGGCCAGAUUUGAACUCGGGAACUUCUGAGUCCAAGUAUGGCACUCUUAUCCACUAGCCCCUAUGAACGAGAAGUGCUUCAUGAGCAUGGUAGACAAGCUGGGUCAAAACAUGGAAGAAGGAAAUGGAUUUCCCAUGUGGAGAAUAGCAAGCUGGCCAGUUUUGCUGGAGCAUAAGAAGGAGUGAAGGGAAGUAAUGUGAAAUAGACUGGAACAGUGGCCUGAAGUCGGGUUGCAGAGGGUAUUAAAGCACAGACUGAAGAGGGUGAAUUUUAUUCUGGGGGGGAAGAGAAACAUCAAAGAUUUUUGAGUAGGAAGGUGAUGAUCCGUCACCAGGAGAAGGGGGAAAUUGCUGUGUGAUGGUGAGAUAAUCAGUUUGUUGAACUGAGUAAUAAACUGGACAAAACAAUUGCAUUUUGGUCUUGGUCUUCUCAUAUUCUGGUUGCGUGACAUUGGCCAGAUGCCUUAACUAGGACAAACAAUUUUUUAAAUUUAAAUCCAACAAUCAGAAUUGAGUGUGAAGAAGGCCUGUUCUCCCUCUUGAACAAAAACCAUUAUGUGAGAGAUUGCCAUAAACUUUCUCAGAAUUAGGAAAGAAGAUUUUUCUGAAUGAUGAGGUUUAAGACAUUGGAGCAAAAAUGGAGUAAAGAAGGUUUUGUGUUCUAGC